UUCCAAUUGAAUCACCUCCUUGAUACAAGGCAUCACUGGCCUAGAAGGACUAGCUCAGUAAUUGUCCUGAAGUUCGGCACAGCAGGGCAUGUGUGCGAGAGCUCUCACUGUGGCCUAGCAUUGGUUCACAAGGAACCCAUGGCCCAUUGCUGGCCUUAGACCCUGAGAGCACCGGGAAAAGAUGGUGGGACGCUGGCUGCUGGACUCCAAACUCUCAGCUACGUCCAGAGCAUCAUCAGCACAGCCAAAGUUGGUGUUACAGAUGGAGAUGUUUUUGCCAGUUUCCAGUGCUCUCAAGGGACUUCCUGUCUCAGGGGCUGCUUUGGAACAUUCUAAGCAAAAGAAUUGCAUCGUCCUUGCGGGGAAGUCAUGGCCAGUGGCAGUGGCAAGCACUUGACCUUUUUACAAGAGCAAACAUUUUCUCUCCUUUAACGGAAGGUGUUGAUAAGAAAGAAACUCUAAGUGCCACUUGUGAAAGUAAAGCAGGAUUUUUUCUGCUGAGUGUUUGUGAGCCGGGAUUCGUGGUCUUGUAGAGCCGAAGAAUGGAGACAUGUACCAGAGAGAGCCGCAGGGAAGUCUGGAACAACACACAGUAGUUGGAGACUUAAAGGAAGGUUUUCAGCAUGCUUGUAAUUUUCUCCUUGUCUGUCCAAGUCUGCAUAAUCCAUGACCAGAAGCCACGUGUAUUUAAAUUAAGGGAACCCAGACAAAGAGACAGGACACCAAGGUGUGGGAAG